rnacentral:rRNA from 1 species
AUUGAACGCUGGCGGCAGGCCUAACACAUGCAAGUCGAGCGGGGUUUUCGGACCUAGCGGCGGACGGGUGAGUAAUGCGUAGGAAGCUGCCCGAUAGAGGGGGAUACCAGUUGGAAACGACUGUUAAUACCGCAUAAUGUCUACGGACCAAAGUGUGGGACCUUCGGGCCACAUGCUAUCGGAUGCGCCUACGUGGGAUUAGCUAGUUGGUGAGGUAAUGGCUCACCAAGGCGACGAUCUCUAGCUGGUUUGAGAGGAUGAUCAGCCACACUGGAACUGAGACACGGUCCAGACUCCUACGGGAGGCAGCAGUGGGGAAUAUUGGACAAUGGGCGCAAGCCUGAUCCAGCCAUGCCGCGUGUGUGAAGAAGGCCU